rnacentral:rRNA from 1 species
AGUAAAUUGGUUAAGUUAGAAAGGGCGCACGGUGGAUGCCUUGGCACUAGGAGCCGAAGAAGGACGGGACUAACACCGAUAUGCUUUGGGGAGCUGUACGUAAGCGUUGAUCCAGAGAUUUCCGAAUGGGG